GCACAGGCUCCCUUAGGAGCCACUGUACAUCUUGGAGACAGCUAAA
rfam:Cariama cristata contig45305, whole genome shotgun sequence.